rnacentral:rRNA from 1 species
GAUGAACGCUAGCUGCAGGCUUAACACAUGCAAGUCGAGGGACGGGCGCGCGGGUGAGUAACACGUAUCCCACCUGCCCUUUACUCGGGGAUAGCCUUUCGAAAGAAAGAUUAAUACCCGAUAUAAAGGAUGGGGAUGCGUUCGAUUAGGUUGUGGGUGAGGUAACGGCCCACCAAGCCUUCGAUGGAUAGGGGGUCUGAUAGGAAGGUACCCCAGAAUGGAACUACGACACGGUCCAAACUGCGACGCGAGGCAGGAGUGAGGAAUAUUGGUCAAUGGGCGCUAGCCUGAACCAGCCAAGUAGCGGGAAGGAUGAAGGCUUAUGGGUCGUAAACUGCUUUUAUAUAAGAAUAUGUAUUAUAUGAAUAAGGAUCGGCUAACUCCGUGCCAGCAGCCGCGGUAAUAC